rnacentral:rRNA from 1 species
AUUGAACGCUGGCGGCAGGCUUAACACAUGCAAGUCGAGCGAGCGGCGGACGGGUGAGUAAUGUCUGGGAAACUGCCUGAUGGAGGGGGAUAACUACUGGAAACGGUAGCUAAUACCGCAUACCAUCAGAUGUGCCCAGAUGGGAUUAGCUAGUAGGUGGGGUAAUGGCUCAUAUAGGCGACGAUCCCUAGCUGGUCUGAGAGGAUGACCAGCCAUACUGGAACUGAGAAACGGGCCGGACUCUUGCGGGAGGCAGAAGUGGAGAAUAUUGCACAAUGGUCGCAAGCCUGAUGCAGCCAUGCCGCGUGUGUGAAGAAGGCCUUCGGAUUGUAAAGCACUGUCAGCGAGUAGGCGUUACUCGCAGAAGAAGCACCGGCUAACUCCGUGCCAGCAGCCGCGGUAAUAC